rnacentral:lncRNA from 1 species
CUAAGGCCGAGCCCCACCUCCUCGUCUCCUGAGAACCAGCCCAGGCCCUUUGCAUCCUGAGGUGGGGUCGGUAACUCCAGCAGGUAUCCAGCGCUCGACAUAUCCCAGUUGUGAUCGCAGACACACAAUUUUGUCCACCUACCGAAUGUGCCCAAGGUGGUGAGUAUUCCCCACUUACUCCAAGGAGCAAUGCUUUAACGAUCCCAAGUUCUCCUAGUCCCCAGGUGAGGCUGAGGGCAACUACAUGAGGAAUUCCUCUAUAUAUAGAUUCUUCAGGAGCCCGGGCAACGUGAGGCCUAUAGGCUGGAAAUUAUUCGUAAGCAAUCCGAGUGAGACCACACCGAUUUCCCAAACAGAAAGCUCGGAUGGCAUGUCUGUGCUGAGGGCCUUUGAACUCGAGACACCAGAAGUCAACCCCCGACAUUCAGAAGCCGCAUCUGAAAACGGUCUUUAGAGAAAAGUCUCUUUAAGGCUUCUGUGGCCACUGAGUGGCCCCUGAACAUGAGCCAUCUGCACUUUCCAACCAGAGCGCACAGGAAACGACCUACCUACGGAGAAGGAGGCUAAAGUAGCUCCAGGGGAGAGAUGUAAAACGGGUCUCCCCAACUCAAGCAAAAGCCACACAUUUCAAGGGAGCGAAACCUUCCAACUGAGUGAAAUGUGAGUACGAAGUUGCUUUUUCAAAAUUGGACCAGAAUCGGACAUGAGUGGAGACAGAAUUUCUGGCCAAGCCAGUCCCAAGGCCGGCCUGCUGCAAGCAAGGGGAAGCAGACUCUGCCUCUUACUGGGUGAUGUGGCCUGCUCCUGUGGAGGAAGGAAACUGAGGAUAGAGACCAUGUUUGGAAACUCUCCACCACCAGGGUAAACAGGGCGAUCUCAGCAGAAACCCACUUUGCUCCUACUUUGUAAGGGAGCCAUGAGCAAGAGCUGGAAGCACAUGCGUGAGCAAACAGUGUCACCAGAUUUUUUUUUUUUUUUUUUUUUUAAAGACUUUACCUGGGCCACUUGCCUCAGACUAGUUGGAGGACGUAAGUUGGGGAAAGUUUUUCUAGCUCAGUGAGGAGUCACCUAAGAACAAACAAACAGACAAACCAACCAACCAGUCUUCCUUUCAGGGUUUUGAACCUGGUAUGUGCCAAGGAAGGUUCAUUCGUUUGAUGUUUACCCAGUGUUGACUGGGGACUCUCCAAGGCUGCCUGACCCUCUAGCAACAGUCAGCCUUCUCACUGCCUUCUCUUCCUCUUCCUCUUUUGCUUUUCAACGUAUGACAUAUAGUUUCAGCCCUACUACUUGACUCUCUGCAGAAAACUUUAUUAGCAUGUCCACUCACAGCAGGAAAUUGGGUCAAUGAAAUAGUCCAAUAAAUAAAGAAAAAAAGUUUCU